rnacentral:misc_RNA from 1 species
GUAGGUGAACCUGCGGAAGGAUCAUUAUCGUUGGGCUUAUGCCCCUCGAGAUAGCACCCUUUGGCUAUUAGUACCUAAUGUUUCCUCAGCAAGGCGCCUUGCUAAUGGGGACCCUAUAAACCCUUUUGUAGUAGCUAUACACAUUGAAUACUCAAUAUUUUACAACUUUCAACAACGGAUCUCUUGGCUCUG